rnacentral:tRNA from 1 species
UCCAAGGUAGCUCAACGGUGGAGCACUCGGCUGUUAACCGAUAGGCUGCGGGUUCGAAUCCCGCCCUUGGAGCCA